UGUGUACUCCAAACUAUAUUUGGAAGGUGAGUUUCUCUAGCACAGCACGGCACAUCACGAGGCUUCUUCUGUCUCCUCCGUCUCUGUCGAUCCCCACUCUCGAGAGCUCCAAUCCACUCACAAAUCCACUCCAAUCCAACGCAUCCACCAUCUAAUCAGCCACCAAAUCGAUGCUAACCAUGCAUCUCAUCGGCUAGCAGCAGCACGCCGGAGGCGGAGGGGAUCGAGGAGGAGGCAGGAGCCGCCGGAUCCAUCGAGCUGCCCGCGCGGCGGAUCUAGAUCGACGGCCACGCGUCGGAGGGAUGGGGAGCGGAGCGCCGGAGGGAGGAUGAGGGGCCGCAUCCCCGGAGCAGGAGGCCGUCCCCACGGGCGCAUCUCAGCGAUUGGUUCCGGCUAGGGUUCCAAUCAGCAGACCGGCCUCCGAAUCCCGGCCAUGGAGUCGCCGCCGCACAAGCUCAAUGUCGGCCGGGAUGAGGACAGAAUCAGCGCGCUCACCGACGACCUCCUCGUCGGAAUCCUCGAGCGCCUUGACCUGCGCGAGGCGGUCCGCGCCGGCGCACUCUCGACGCGGUGGCGUCACCUCCCCUACCGGCUAUCGCGCCUGCACCUCGACGUCGGUCACUUCCAAGGCCAAGGCGCCACGCCGCUCGAGGUCAUGGACGCCUUCACGGGCGCCGCACAGAGGUUGCUCUCUCUGGUGGUUCCUCUGGCCGAGGGCGAGGGCGGCAGUGCUGCCAUCAUUCCCAUCAAGGCCCUCAUCCUCAGCUUUUACAUGUCAUCCCCUCACCUGAGCGCAAUAGGCCGCACCGUUGAGGACGCUGUGAGCUACGGCAAGACCGAAUGCCUUGAGUUCUCCAUAUCCCCGCCACGGGCAAGCAACACCAGCCUGCUUGCUGAAUUCGGGCAGCAGUUCAUGUCCUUCUCCCAGGCCUACCCGGUCGCCUUCUGGUGGCUCACCAGGCUUACACUCAAGAACCUUGUGUUUGGACAUUCCGACGUCACCGAACUUAUUAACGCUUGCAAUAAGCUCAAGCACCUCACCCUGAGUUCCUGCAGACUGGUUGAUCAGCGGUCGGCGCUCAAGAUUGAUACCCCAUGCUCGGGGCUUCGGAGGCUCGACUGCAUCCGUUUUCGCUGUGAACGGAUCGAACUCAUCUCCGUCCCCGAGCUCAGGACUGUGCUGUGCUGUUCUCGGCGCUACGAGAACCCUCCAGUGCGCUUCGGCGACGUUCCCCAGCUUUGCCAUGUGAACCUCGGUUAUCUUGCCAAGGCGUCGCAAGCGCCACUCAUGUUGAGUGAGUGCCUUUCAAGGAGUUCCAGGAAUCUGUCUAAACUGAAUAUCAAUUUCUUCAGCCAAACGGUAAAGUUAAUUUCUGUGCAUUUACACAUCACCCGCUCUUCUUUUUUACCAAUUUCAGCUGUGUAUUUUGUGUUCUUCAUGUUGCAGAUUUGGAUUCAGCCGGAGCAGCCGAAGCGGCUCACUGCCAUAUUCAGAAACCUGACCGACGUGUAUCUUUUUGGUAUCUUCCCUGAGUGUGAUCUGAGCUGGACCCUGUUUAUCCUAGAAGCUGCACCUGCCCUACAGAAUUUCAAGUUAUCUCGAACUCGACAUACAUGUGGCAAAAAGCUUUACGAUACUGCCGAAAAGACGAAUGUGGUGUGGGAGCCAUCGAAGGAUAUGAAGCAUCUGAACUUGAAGUUGCUGAUGAUGUUAGGGUUCGAGGAGGAGGUCAAGGUGACAAACUAUAUAAGGCUAGUCAUGGCACAUGUUGUGAGGUUGAAGAGAAUCGAGCUUCAUGGUGAGGACCCAUGCAAGGAGUGCAAUGCCAUUGACCCGAGGAGAUCCCAGGUGGAUAAAGCUAGCAGGCGUCAGAUUAAGGAGCGACUCACACUUGAAUCUUCCUCCUCUGCGAAGAUAAUAAUUUGUUGAUCGAGUCAAGCACAGCUGCAGAUGCGGAUGAUUAUAAAGAUCAUCAAGGCAGAGUGCAUUGUGGGUCUGUGAGACAAGCAUGCCAACUGAGUCUUGACUCAGGCGUGCACAGUUGCAGAUGCGGAUGAUUAUUGAGAUUAUCAAGACAGCCUGCAGUGUGAGUCUGUGUGAGACAAACAUGCCAACUGGUACUUGUUUUAUGUAUUUUCCUGUUAUUAUGUGGAUGCAAUGUAUCCAUGAAUUGACUUAUUCUUCGUGUAACUGACACCAACUGUUAGUUGAAAUAGCUUCAUCGGUGGAGCUAUGACUUUUCACCAUUCAUGUCAUAUAUUAAUUCCCGUGUUUGCUUUUA